AUGAUCUAUGGCGAAGGCGUCGUCGGCAUCCUCGAUGCCGAUGUCACUGACGAUGAGGUGAUGGCCGAGUUCCGCAUCGAGGAGGUCGUGC
rnacentral:tRNA from 1 species